AUCGAACGCUGGCGGCAGGCUUAACACAUGCAAGUCGAGCGAGCGGCGGACGGGUGAGUAAUGUCUGGGAAACUGCCUGAUGGAGGGGGAUAACUACUGUAAACGGUAGCUAAUACCGCAUACCAUCAGAUGUUCCCAGAUGGGGUUAGCUAGUAGGUGGUGUAAUGGCUCACCUAGGCGACGCUCCCUAGCUGGUCUGAGAGGGUGAACAGCCACACUGCAACUGAGACACGGUCCAGACUCCUACGGGAGGCAGCAGUGGGGAAUAUUGCACAAUGGGCGCAAGCCUGAUGCAGCCAUGCCGCGUGUGUGAAGAAUGCCUUCGGGUUGUAAAGCACGUUCAGCGAGGAGGCGUUACUCGCAGAAGAAGCACCGGCUAACUCCGUGCCAGCAGCCGCGGUAAUUC
rnacentral:rRNA from 1 species